UACAGAGGUGCCGAGCGUUAGGCGGAAUCACUGGGCUUAAAGCGUGUGUAGGCGGAUGCCUAAGUACCUUGUGAAAUCCCCCGGCUUAACCGGGGAACUGCUUGGUAUACUGGGUGUCUUGAGCCACUUAGGGGCGACCGGAACAAACGGUGGAGCGGUGAAAUGCGUAGAUAUCGUUUGGAACGCCAAUGGUGAAAACAGGUCGCUGGGAGUGUGCUGACGCUGAGACACGAAAGCCAGGGGAGCAAACGGG
rnacentral:rRNA from 1 species